rnacentral:rRNA from 1 species
GACAGAGGGUGCAAACGUUGUUCGGAUUUACUGGGCGUAAAGCGCGUGUAGGCGGCCUGGCAAGUCGGAUGUGAAAGCCCACGGCUCAACCGUGGAAGCGCAUCCGAAACUGCUUCGCUCGAGUCUCGGAGAGGAAGGUGGAAUGCUUGGUGUAGAGGUGAAAUUCGUAGAUAUCAAGCAGAACACCUGCGGCGAAGGCGGCCUUCUGGACGAUGACUGACGCUGAGACGCGAAAGCGUGGGGAGCAAACAGG